rnacentral:rRNA from 1 species
CAAGUCGACGGUAACAGGAAGUGCUUGCACUUCGCUGACGAGUGGCGGACGGGUGAGUAAUGCUUGGGAACUUGCCUUUGCGAGGGGGAUAACAGUUGGAAACGACUGCUAAUACCGCAUAAUGUCUACGGACCAAACGGGGCUUAGGCUCCGGCGCAAAGAGAGGUCCAAGUGAGAUUAGCUAGUUGGUAAGGUAAAGGCUUACCAAGGCAACGAUCUCUAGCUGUUCUGAGAGGAAGAUCAGCCACACUGGAACUGAGACACGGUCCAGACUCCUACGGGAGGCAGCAGUGGGGAAUAUUGCACAAUGGGGGAAACCCUGAUGCAGCCAUGCCGCGUGUGUGAAGAAGGCCUUCGGGUUGUAAAGCACUUUCAGUUGUGAGGAAAAGUUAGUAGUUAAUACCUGCUAGCCGUGACGUUAACAACAGAAGAAGCACCGGCUAACUCCGUGCCAGCAGCCGCGGUAAUACGGAGGGUGCGAGCGUUAAUCGGAAUUACUGGGCGUAAAGCGCACGCAGGCGGUUUGUUAAGCUAGAUGUGAAAGCCCCGGGCUCAACCUGGGAUGGUCAUUUAGAACUGGCAGACUAGAGUCUUGGAGAGGGGAGUGGAAUUCCAGGUGUAGCGGUGAAAUGCGUAGAUAUCUGGAGGAACAUCAGUGGCGAAGGCGACUCCCUGGCCAAAGACUGACGCUCAUGUGCGAAAGUGUGGGUAGCGAACAGGAUUA